CUCGAUUGUCCAAGAAUUUUUUCAUCCUCUAACUUGUUUUUAUAAAGAUAGUAAAGAUUUAUUACGCAGAUGUUAUAAACCUGAUCGUAACGAAUUUCUAGGGGUGUCUUACGCCACUUUGAUCGGUUUUUGCGUUUUGGGUUUUCUUGGUUACUUCGUCAAGUUAGUUCACAUCCCCAUAAAAAAUAUAUUAGUGGGCGCCUAGUUAAGAAAACUUUGAGCUGAAAAAAACCAUUAAAAACCGCCUUUAAUUUUUAGUCAUA